rnacentral:lncRNA from 1 species
AGAUGGUCUCAGUCCAGGCUCGUUCAGGCUGGAGUGCAGUGGUGCAAACUUGGCUCACUGCAACAUCCACCUCCUGGGUUCCAGCGAUUUUCCUGCCUUAGCCUCCCAGGUAGCUAGGACUAGAGACGUGCCACCAUGCCCAGCUAACUUUUGUGUUUUUCGUAGAGACAGGGUUUUGCCAUGUUGGCCACGCUGACCUGGAACUCUUGACCUUAUGUGAUCCAUGUGGCCACUUUGGCCUCCCAAAGUGCUAUAUUACAAGCAUAAGCCACUAUACCUGGCCCUUCUUUCUUUUGGCUAACUCUCUGAGCAAAACUCUUUCUGCCAUGGGAGAUCAUUACCUUAUCAUUGGUCAUUUUCAGGAUCUUCUGAGAACACAGACCAGAAGUACUGAGGUAAUCUUGGCACAUUUUCUUAACUAUUUUAUGCUGCUUUUAAAAUACCUUAUAUAUAGCUGGGAAAAAAGGUUUUGCUAGAUGAUCUUUCAACCUUCAUGAAAAUAAAGAUUUUACUAAAAAGUUUAAACCAAAGGCACUGAUGGAAAAUACAGAAGAAAACCUAAACAAAGUUUCAGUUCUCAGCCCCUCAGCAGCCACUAAGUGAUGGGCAUUUCCUUCACUCCCCAGUGAGCACCUAUUGUUUGCCCCGCAUGGUACAGGGAAGCCAGAAUGGGCAUGGGAGGAGCAGACCAAGAAACACGCCUUGGGUGGGGGCCACAGAGGGCUUGGGUGAACUCCCAGGACAGGGCGGGAAGGGAAGGCAGAAAGGCUAUGAGCAUGGGCUGCACUGUCAGCUUUGGAAGGGUGCAGUGACCCUGCAUCUGUGGGAAGUAUGGGGCACAGGCAGCCUGAGCUGCAGCCUCAGAGUGGACUCAUCUCGGGGUCCACCUGGCCAUGGCCUGGAUUAAGUUUAAAAUGAUGAGCCCGUCUCCAACUUCCAUACAUGACUUUGCACAAGUCUGACAAACACUUUUGGGCCUCAGGAACAGCACCUUAAGUCAGAGUGCCUGCUUUUACCUCUGAUCUUUGUCAUCUUCCACACUGAAUUCUGAAUAAUCAUCAGAAUCUGACAGAUGACCAUCCACCAAAUCCUCUGUUUUUAGCUUUGUAUUUGGGAGGUAGAGAUAUUUGUCUUGAAGGGUCUACUUUUAAUGAUUUUUUUUUUUUUUUUAGUUUUUCAGUAUGUUUUGUGUGCAAGUUGGAAAUAAAUGUACUGAACUGAUUGAAAAAGAUGCUACUGCCAGUGGGUUGGAGGACAAAAAAGGGGUCAAUAUGGAGCCAUGUCCAGUUGGAGCCUUGGGGGCCGGACUCUUUGUAGGGACUGUCUGGAAGGCUGGCAGUAGUCCCUGUACAAAUACCUAAGCAGGAUGCUGACAUAGGUCACUUAGGAACCACGAAUGUGGCUCGGUUCUCACUAGGAGCCAUACCCUGAGUAGCUGAGGGCUGAAGAUAGGAGCCCCACCAGGCAGGAAUUCCCCUGUGCGGCUGUCUCUGUCUUGUAUUGGGGCUGGUUUGUGACCAGUAGGGUCAUUGUCCUUUCCUG